rnacentral:tRNA from 1 species
GGAGGGAUGGCCGAGCGGUUGAAGGCGGCGGUCUUGAAAACCGCUGUGGGGGAAACCCCACCCUGGGUUCGAAUCCCAGUCCCUCCGCCA